rnacentral:lncRNA from 1 species
UGCAUUUGGCGAGAGGCAGGGCACGUUUCUGCCCUACUGAUGAACUCAGGUUCGGCCGCCGAAGGUACAUUCGGCCGCCGAACCCCUGAAGAGGUGUGAGGAGGUGGCUUCGGCUGCCCAAGCUUGCCCCCGAGCUUUUGGACUUUCGGCUCUGGAGGGAAGUUCGGCCGCCGAAGGUGCCGCCGAAGGUUAGAGACUUUCGUCUCUGGCGUGCCUU